rnacentral:lncRNA from 1 species
UUUCAAAAUCUUUUUACUAAAACUAAAUCAGUUUUACAUUUUACUUACUAAAACUAAAUCAGUUUUACAUACAAUUUAAAUACAAAACAUACAGUUUUGAUCAGUUCACUAAAAGAUUUUGAACGUAAACCUUAUUUCUAGCAGUCCAACAUUGUAAAAAGGCUAUAUAUAGUAAGUUAUUGUUGAUACUAUAGAAUCAAGUGAUGCUCUAUAGUAUGGAUUAAAAAUAAAAAUGGUAAUUUCCAACAAAUAAAUAAAAUGUGAAGGCCUUAAGUUAUUGCUUUAAAGAUCUGAUAGCAAUAUAUGAAGGAUCACACUCUCUAUUUUCUGAAACCAUCUGCGUGCACUUCAAUUGCAGGAUAUAUGAUUGCCUAUGGAAUCAAUUAGAGUUAAUUGGAAGUGAGCAAGUUGUGCUGAUGUAGGAGUCACUGCAUACUCUAUAUGUAGAUACAUUCAUACGUAAAGAAAAAGAGAUAAAAGUAUAUGGUUGGCUAUAAUAUGGAAAGUUUAAAAAAUUAAAAUCCACAAAGCAUAAAGUAUAAAUAUGGAAUCUGGAAGCACUGAAAAAGCAUGGUAUUGAAUCUGGAUACUAUGUAGAGAGA